rnacentral:rRNA from 1 species
AUUGAACGCUGGCGGCAGGCCUAACACAUGCAAGUCGCGCGAGCGGCGGACGGGUGAGUAAUGUCUGGGAAACUGCCUGAUGGAGGGGGAUAACUACUGGAAACGGUAGCUAAUACCGCAUAACAUCAGAUGUGCCCAGAUGGGAUUGGCUAGUAGGUGGGGUAAAGGCUCACCUAGGCGACGAUCCAUAGCUGGUCUGAGAGGAUGACCAGCCAAACUGGAACUGAGACACGGUCCAGACUCCUACGGGAGGCAGCAGUGGGGAAUAUUGCACAAUGGGCGCAAGCCUGAUGCAGCCAUGCCGCGUGUGUGAAGAAGGCCUUCGGGUUGUAAAGAACUUUCAGCGGGGAGGCGUUACCCGCAGAAGAAGCACCGGCUAACUCCGUGCCAGCAGCAGCGGUAAUAC